CGUCACACACCGUCUCGUGCCAGCAGGACACGUCACGGGCAUCCGCUAUCUUUUCCGCAUUGGAUGUUUACAGUUGCUACAAGGAAAUUACACAUACACUCUGAAACACAAGACAAAAAGUCACUAGCGCUCAGUAGACAAACAUCUACCAACUGAACACCAGCCGAUUAUCAGAAUGGUAGUCACCAGAGUUGUUACAAGUCAGUGUGUAAGUGUGUAUCAUGUCCAGAAGACAGUCACGUCUUGCAUGUGUGUUCCCUGCUGCUGAGGAACAAGCUGUAGACGGACAUAGCAGACAACAAACACCCAGUUACAGAGCAGCAUCCAGUGGCUGUGAUGACCUGAUAGACUUGUCUGACAUUGGCUGUGCUGACUGCUCUGUGGACAGUCUGUCAAAUAAAUCCAAAGUGGGUGGCAUUCCCAUUGAUUCUGUGAAACAGGGUGCCGUGUGUCUGAGAAACUCCCACCUCAUGCAGACUGAUGGGAUUGUUGUUUGUGGAGGUGGGGAUCAGACUGUUACAUGGGCAACGUGGGGACAAGCUACGUCUUGGAAAGACAAGGGGGAUCCUUUGUGUCAUCCUGUUCACAAUAGAGAUGUACAAGGGCAUCCAGUUCCUUUGACAAGAGGGGGUAAUGAUACAGGUGUGCAAGUACUUAUAACAAACAUUGGUAAUCAAGGAGGUCAUGAUACAGGUGUACAAGGAUUCCAAGUACCUGUAAUGAACAUUGGUAAUCAAGGAGGUCAUGAUACAGGUGUACAAGGAUUCCAAAUACCUGUAACAAACAUUGGUAAUCAAGGAGGUCAUGAUACAGGUGUACAAGGAUUCCAAGUACCUGUAACGAACAUUGGUAAUCAAGGAGGUCAUGAUACAGGUGUACAAGGAUUCCAAGUACCUGUAACAAGGGUUGGUAAUCAAGGAGGUCAUGAUACAGGUGUGCAAGUACCUGUAAUGAACAUUGGUAAUCAAGGAGGUCAUGAUACAGGUGUGCAAGGAUUCCAAAUACCUGUAACAAACAUUGGUAAUCAAGGAG
rnacentral:misc_RNA from 1 species